rnacentral:lncRNA from 14 species
CUUUGGAGUCAAGUGUAUAUAGAUCUGGGUGUCAGCACUGUGGGACGGAUAUUUUUUUCGAGGUCUUUUUUUCCUAUUUCCCAUCUCCUUUCUGGGGAAAUCGGCAGUAAGCUUGGCAAGUAUCGCCCCACAGCAACCACUCAACAAAUAAAUGCAAGUCCUCAGAGAAAGUAGGACACUCGUGUAGAC